rnacentral:misc_RNA from 1 species
UUGGUUCAAGGAGUGGCCAGAGCAU